rnacentral:tRNA from 7 species
GGAUUGGUAGCUCAAUUGGAAGAGGGCUGCGACGGCAUCGCAGAAAUUGGCAGUUCAAGUCUCCCUCAUUCCC